rnacentral:rRNA from 1 species
CGUAGGUGGCGAGCGUUAUCCGGAUUUACUGGGCGUAAAGCGUGUGCAGGCGGGGGUACAAGUGGUGUAUGAAAUCGCUCGGCUAAACCGGGCGGGGUUAUGCCAGACUGUACUUCUGGAGUGCGAGAGAGGGGCAUGGAAUUCCGGGUGUAGUGGUGAAAUGCGUAGAGAUCCGGAGGAACCCCAGAGGCGAAGGCGGUGCCCUGGCUCGCAACUGACGCUCAGACACGACAGCAUGGGGAGCGAACGGGAUUAGAAACCCCGGUAGUCCAUGCCGUAAACGAUGCAAACUAGGCGCUGACGGUCUCAACCCCGCCGGUGCCGCAGCUAACGCGAUAAGUUUGCCGCCUGGGGAGUACGGCCGCAAGGCUA